CCUACGGGCGGCAGCAGUGGGGAAUAUUGCGCAAUGGGCGAAAGCCUGACGCAGCGACGCCGCGUGAGGGAUGAAGGUCUUCGGAUCGUAAACCUCUGUCAGCAGGGAAGAACGGUCACUGUGCUAAUCAGCAGUGAAUUGACGGUACCUGCAAAGGAAGCACCGGCUAACUCCGUGCCAGCAGCCGCGGUAAUACGGAGGGUGCGAGCGUUAAUCGGAAUUACUGGGCGUAAAGCGCUCGUAGGCGGUAUGUCAAGUCAAGGGUGAAAUCCCCGGGCUCAACGUGGGAACUGCCUUUGAAACUGGCAAACUGGAGUGUGGGAGAGGAUAGUGGAAUUCCAGGUGUAGGAGUGAAAUGCGUAGAUAUCUGGAGGAACAUCAGUGGCGAAGGCGUCUAUCUGGCACAUAACUGACGCUGAGGAGCGAAAGCGUGGGUAGCAAACAGGAUUAGAUACCCUUGUAGUC
rnacentral:rRNA from 1 species